rnacentral:lncRNA from 1 species
CCGCCGAGAGGGCGCCUUUCUCCCACUCCCAAAGGCUUCCGGUGUUUCCUGGGCUGGACCAGUUGGCCCUCAAGGCUCAGCUCAGGAAGCGGCACGAACCGGAAGCCGCAGGAGAAGGCCCCUCCGCGCAGCCCUCCCGGUCGCCCAAGUCUCCGCUUCAGGCGGGUCCCUCCGGAGGCAGGACGUUGCCCAAGGGCCCCGAGAGAGAGGAGAGGGCGGAGGGCCCCCCGUCGCCACAGUGGCUGAAGGAGCUGAGGUCCAGGAAGCGGCAGAGCCAGUACGAGGACCAGGUGUGACACACACACACACCCCACGGCCUGAAGGUGAGCGGGGCAAGGGGCAUAUAGCUAGGUGAAGUUAUUUUAUGUUCCCUCAGGAGCCAAACGUAAGGGACCUGAACUACCAACGAAACAACGUGCAUUUAGGAUGAGUGCUUACGCUCUGUUUGAAUGUGUACUUAACUUUCAUUUGCUUUUUGAAAUGGCCUUGUGUUGAUUUUGCAUGCUUUAUAAAUAUUUAAAAUGUUUCCCAGUAGCUAAAAUUGGCUGAAAAGAAAUAUUUUUAUGAGGGAAAUACAUGAACAGAGUACACAGAGUCAAAUGUAAAUGUUAAAAAAAUCCAAAGGUUUACAUGGAAGUUGUUUUCCUUGGAGACAUUUGCGCUCCUUAGAAUACAUUUUCUUCUUCUUUUCCCUUUGGUUUUAAGGAAGGCCAUUAAAGACACCCAAAAUGGUUUGCUCACUAAUUUUUAAAAUAUGCCUAAAGGCCUCUGUGCACAAGGGCACCUGCUUUAUCUGGGAAAAGUGAAUUACAACUUUUCGUUUUUGGGAUUGCCUUGAAUUUGAGCUCAUUCUGUUUCUAAAACUGAACCUUUUCCUCUUUUUUUCGCAGAAGGGUGGAUCAUGGCCGACUUCUUCCGGAGACUUCCCCACGAUUGAUUUAUAAACUCCUUGUUCUGUGGGGAGGUGUUGUCGUAACCGUGCUUUCGGUCCC